CAUCCCUGGGGCCGGGUUUCUCUGCCUGGGUGUCCGCCACGCCAGGACCAUCGCAGGGACCAAAGCUUCGGUCCUUGGGGCACCUGCCGGGCGAUGUCCAUCAGGUCGACCGUGAGGGGUUCGCCAGGUGGAAACACCCCAGGAGGGGAGGUGGUCGCAGUGACCCGCCGUGUCCUUGGAGAGCACCUGUCAUGAAUUGUGCCUCAUGGCAUUGCCAGACUCAAACUUCUUAAUCGCUUUUGCUCUAGAAAGCACUGUGUCAAACCACCAGCUGUCAACUGUUAACGCAGUGGAUGCCACUGCUGCCAUGAAGACCUGCCCCUCGCCUCCUGUGAUGCCAUUCCCAGCCUCCUCCGCAGCUGUGGGCCACGGCCACAAGCAGGAGGGACACCUGCUCCAGGUGGGCACACGGCCUCUCCCCCACUGGGCCCCAGUAGCCCCUGUGACCUCGGAGUCACCUGUGAAGGGAGCUGGCGAUGCCACCAUUAGCCUGUGUCCCUCAGUGUGCAGGGGACUCUCCCACACCCACACCUCCCUGUCGUCCCCACGCACUGCCCCAGUGCUGGGACCUCCCUGUACUGCCUGCGGGAACAGCACACGCACUCACAUGUGCUUGCCAUCACGCAUUUUUUUGUCUAGCCACAGCCAUUAGCCUCUGUGGCACACCCAGCACAUUAUAAGAUUUCGUUUCACCCUUUUGUCCUGAAAUAUGGUUAAACACUGCUGCGCUCUCUAUCCACCCCGUGAUAGUAGCUUCUGUCCGUAGCAGGACCUGCUCUGGAAAUGUCACCCCAGAUGCCGACCCUUGUCUGGUUUCUGUCCCGAGCACCAUGUUAUCACAGCAGUUUCCCUGCAGCAGUGGGUGGAUGCCGCUUCCCCAAAGCUCAGCGCCGACUGGCCGUGUUUGGUAUCCAUCUCGGGAUGUGGACAGGGGCUCUGUGCCAGAGCGCCCGUCUGACCUGCUGCUGCAGUUCCAGAACAUUCUGUCCCCGGGGGUAUCUGAGCGCACAGCAGUUGCUCAGUGCAGGCUGAGUGACUGACUCAGACUCCAGUCGGACAUGCUCACAGAAGAGCAUUUAGUUAAAUGCAGACUCUCCAAGUGCGGGCGCUUGCAGGCCCUUUCCUUCAGGAACGUUCUUUCCUGCUCCUGUGCAGUGCUUCAGGCAGGUCAGCUGUUCCCAAUCAGGCCUCCUAGCGAAUUGAGAUCUAAGAAAUGAAACGUAGAUUCUGCUCACACUGUGGGGAAUAGUUUUAUCACUUUUGCUGUGUGUUAUGCGUAUCCAUUGUAGAAAAAUAUAAAAUGAACAAGCAAGAGGAAGAAACAGUCACUCAGAAUGCCGUCACCUGGACGCGGCUAUUCACACAUCUGUGUCGAUGGGGACAUGUGCAUGUGGUGUGACCGCGCAACACGUGACAUGUCGUGUGUGAUUUUUCAUGUGACGUGUCGUUAGCAGUUUUCCAGGCCAAUAAACGAAGAUCUACUGGAUCAUUUUAAUGUUA